UUUUUUGGACCUAUCGGAUCUGGGCGUAAGCGCGCGUAGGCGGCUUGCUAAGUCGGAUGUGAAAUCCCGGGGCUCAACUUGGGAACUGCAUUCGAUACUGGCUCGCUAGAGUGUGGUAGAGGGAAGUGGAAUUCCAGGUGUAGCGGUGAAAUGCGUAGAUAUCUGGGGGAACAUCAGUGGCGAAGGCGGCUUCCUGGACCAACACUGACGCUGAGGCGCGAAAGCGUGGGGAGCAAACAGGAUUAGAUACCCUGGUAGUCCACGCCGUAAACGAUGUCAACUAGCCGUAGGGAACAUCUGGUUCUUUGUGGCGCAGCUAACGCGUUAAGUUGACCGCCUGGGGAGUACGGCCGCAAUGCUAAAACUCAAAUGAAUUGACGGGGGCCCGCACAAGCGGUGGAGCAUGUGGUUUAAUUCGAUGCAACGCGAAAAACCUUACCUGCCCUUGACAUGUCAGGAAUCUUCCUGAGAUGGGGGAGUGCCUUCGGGAGCCUGAACACAGGUGCUGCAUGGCUGUCGUCAGCUCGUGUCGUGAGAUGUUGGGUUAAGUCCCGUAACGAGCGCAACCCUUGUCCUUAGUUGCCAGCGGUUUGGCCGGGAACUCUAAGGAGACUGCCGGUGAUAAGCCUGAGGAAGGUGGGGACGACGUCAAGUCAUCAUGGCCCUUAUGGGCAGGGCUACACACGUGCUACAAUGGCCAGUACAGAAGGUCGCCAACCCGCGAGGGGGAGCUAAUCCUACAAAGCUGGUCGUAGUCCGGAUCGCAGUCUGCAACUCGACUGCGUGAAGUCGGAAUCGCUA
rnacentral:rRNA from 1 species